GCCCGCCGUCCCCGGCGCGACCGGAGCGCCUGACGCUGGGGGGCCGUGUGGGCCCUGACUUCCGGAGGGCUGGGCCCUGGUCCUCCGCCACCGCGUGCGCCCCUUAAAGACCCCUGCCCGCCGCCCAGGACGGAUGGCGACCCCGGCCCUAGCCUGUCCCCAGACCCUGGACCAAGGCCCCGGCCCUGCCCCGAACCCCUCAUCCCACCCCCAGGACCCAGGCCCCGACCCUGGCCACCCAGGACACGCCCUGGCCCUUCCCCGAACUCCCACCCCACAGCUGGGAUCAAGGUCCCGGCCCUGCCCGGAACACCUCACCCCACACCCGGGACCCAGGCCCCGGCCCUGCCCCGAACUCCCACCCCACACCCGGGACCAAGGCCCCGGCCCUGCCCCGAACCCCUCACCCCACCCCCGGGACCAAGGCCCCGGCCCUGCCCAGAACUCCCACCCCACACCCGGGACCAAGGCCCCGGCCCUGCCCAGAACUCCCACCCCACACCCGGGACCAAGGCCCCGGCCCUGCCCCGAAGGCCCCACCGGGGACCCAGGCCCCGGCCCUGCCCCAAACUCCCACCCCACACCCGGGACCAAGGCCCCGGCCCUGCCCCGAACGCCCCACCCGGGACCCAGGCCCCGGCCCUGCCCCAAACUCCCACCCCACACCCGGGACCAAGGCCCCGGCACUGCCCCGAACGCCCCACCAGGGACCCAGGCCCCAGCCCUGUCCCGAACUCCCGCCCCACACCUGAGACGAAGGUCCCGGCCCCGAAGUCCCAACCCCACACCCGGGACCAAGGCCCCGGCACUGCCCCGAACCCCCGCCCCACACCCCUAACCAAGGCCUCGGCUCAGCCCCGGAAUCCCCAACCCCACACCUGGGAUCAAGGCCCCGGCCCUUCCCCAAACCCCCAACCCACACCCGGGACCAAAAGGCCCCGGCCCCACGUUUCCUAGAGGCGCUGGGUUCGGGCCCACGUUGCAACGAGUCAGAUGCUCUUGGUAGCUCAGGGAGGUGUUCACACUCCUGCCGUUUCCGUGAGGAUGGUGACGACUCCGAACUAUAGCAGCAUACUCUACCUACCCCUGAUCAGUUUAUGGAAGAAAAGGAAACCAAACAAAGCAUGGAAGAUAUAAGGCACAGUUCCAUUCAGCAAGACAAACGGCAAAUAUGCUGUGGCUCUCGGGGGCAGGAUGGCCAUUGAGUGACCCACAUAUUCUGAGGCCAUCACAACCCCGUCCCAGGCAGUCAGAACACACCACGCAGUCCCAGAAAGGACGAAAGAAGUGACAGCCUGCUACGACAGAACAAAAUGUUCUGUGGCCCUGGAAGGAGGAGGCUGAGGAGUCUCCGAUUUUCUUGAUUGACUGAGGAAUACUGGUUUCUUCUUUAAAUGUAAAAACUCCCAAAUCAUGACCUUAAUGAAAUGAGUUUUUUGUUUUGUUUUGUUUUUUGAGACAGAGUUUCACUUUUGUUGCCCAGGCUGGAGUGCAAGGGCGCAAUCUCGGCUCACCGCAACCUCCGCCUCCCAGGUUCAAGCAAUUCUCCUGCCUCAGCCUCCCAAGUAGCUGGGAUUACAGGGAUGCGCCACCACGCCCGGCUCAUGUUUUUGUAUUUUAGUAGAGACAGGGUUUCUCCAUGUUGGUCAGGCUGGUCUCGAACUUCUGACCUCAGGUGAUCUGCCCACCUCGGCCUCCAAAAGUGCUGGGAUUACAGGCAUGAGCCACUGCACCCGGCCAAUGAAAUGUUUUUUAAAUUAACAAAUCAAACAAAAGUGGCUGAAAACUUACCACGCUGAAACUGCUGGCAGUGUGAUAGUGGACCUGAGACCUGAGGAGGGCAGCACGGGAGACCCCCAAGAGUGAGGUCCUCCUGCCUGGAGCUGCGCCGACUGCCCACCGCCCACCACCCACCACCGAGAUUCCUGCGCUGCUCCCUGCUGAUGGGGCCCAAGGCAUGCAUUCAUUCAGCUCACACACGGUCAAAGACCAAGCUCCAAAUACAAAGCCACGCUGCCUGGUUUUUAAAAUUAAACUGUUAAUUUUGAGAUAAUUGUAGCUUCAUAUGCAUUUGUAAGGAAUAAUACAGAGAGGUCUUGUGUAUUGUAUCUGGAGUACAGUGACCUGAUCUCGGCUCCCUGCAACCUCCGCCUCAAAGGUUCAAGCGAUUCUCCUGCCUUAGCCUCCCAAGUAGCUGGGAUUACAGGUGCCCACCACCACAACUGACUAAUUUUUGGCAUUUUUAGUAGAGACAGGGUUUCUCCAUGUUGGUCAGGCAGGUCUCGAACUCCUGACCUUAGGUGAUCCACCCACCUGGGCCUCCCAAGUGCCGGGAUUACAGGCGUGAGCCCCCGCGCCCGGCCUCAGUGGUCGCGUCUUGCACAACUGGGGGACAAUAUCAGGAUCCUGACUUGUGGCCCAGGCACAGACGUCCACCCCCACAGGACCUUCUGCUCCCUUUAAAGCCACAGAACUUCCCUCCCAUCCCUGCCUCCUUCUCAGCCCUGGUAAGGCCUCCAUUGCUGUACUUGGAUCAUUUCAAGAAUGUUCUAUAAAUGGAAUCUCAUGGUGUACCACCUUUUGGUCUGGACUCCCUUCACCAGGGCCACUCUGAAGGUUUGUUCAGGCCGUGGUGUGUGUGCCCAUAGCUCGUUCCUUUUCACUGCAGAGUAUACUCCAUAGUGUGGGUUAUGUCGUCUGCUUAACCACACACCGGUUCAAGGCCAUCUCGGUAGCUUCCAGUUUUUGACCAUGAUGAAUAAAGCUACUACGAACAGCUGUGUACCAGUUGUCAUGUGAACGUCAGUCUUCGUUUUCUCCGGGAUGAACACCCUGGCCCGAAGUUGCCAGGUCCGACAGUGGUUGCAUGUUUAGUUUGUUAAGAAACUGCCAACCCGUUUUCCAGGUGGCUGUACCAUCUUACAUCCCACCAGCCCCGAGUGAGUGAAUGAUCUCCAACCCAUUUCCCAGGCGGCUCUACCAUCUAACAUCCCACCAGCCCCACGUGAGUGAGUGAUCUCCAACCCGUUUUCCAGGCAGCUGUACCAUCUUACAUCCCACCAGCCCCGCGUGAGUGAGUGAUCUCCAACCCGUUUUCCAGGCAGCUGUACCAUCUUACAUCCCACCAGCCCCGCGUGAGUGAGUGAUCUCCAACCCGUUUUCCAGGCGGCUGUACCAUCUUACAUCCCACCAGCCCCGUGUGAGUGAGUGAUCUCCAAGUUGUUUUCCAGGUGGCUGUACCAUCUUACAUCCCACCAGUCCCACAUGAGUGAUCUCCAACCUGUUUUCCAGGCAGCUGUACCAUCUUACAUCCCACGAGCCCCAGGAACUUCAAACAGGAGACCAAGUGGUGACUUCAGGGACAUCCAGGGUGAUGUUGCAUCCCAGGACGAGAAGAGGCUGCCACUAGGAGCCACAGAUAGAGCUCCAGGGAGUUUAACAUACAACCUUUAAGAGGAAGAAAUUGCACCAGCCCAGAAUCAACUGCAUAACAGACAACCUUUAAAACGAAGAAAUCACACCAGCCCAGAACCAACUGCAUAACAUACAACCUUUAAAAGGAAGAAAUCGCAGCAGCCCAGAACCAACUGCAUAACAUACAACCUUUAAAAGGAAGAAAUCGCAGCAGCCCAGAACCAACUGCAUAACAUACAACCUUUAAAAGGAAGAAAUCGCAGCAGCCCAGAACCAACUGCAUAACAUACAACCUUUAAAAGGAAGAAAUCGCACCAGCCCAGAAUCAACUGCAUAACAUACAAACUUUAAAAGGAAGAAAUCGGCCUGGUGCAGUGGCUCACGCCUAUAAUCCCAG
rnacentral:lncRNA from 1 species